UUUCAAGUGAUUUUGACGGGAAGCUGGAGAUAGAAGUAUCUCUUGGUGUGGCCUUUCAAGAGAUAUGUUAUUCUAUUUUGUAUUGAUCCGCUUUUCUGGUGCUUAAGUGAACAAUUUCCUCAGCAUAUGAUCUUUAUCAAAGGUGUUAUGGACUCACACGAUCUCCCAGUAACGUGUCUCAUGAGAUUCUUCAAGAAAGUCGCAUUGUGUGAAUCAUGAACAAAGCUUCUGAGAAUUUACUUGAGCGAAAAUAGAGAAGUGGUUUUGGACACGAACGUAUAUCACUUUUGUCAAGGAAUAUGCUAUUGGAGGUGAGCUAUUUGAGCAUAUAUGUAGGGCUGGAAGAUUCAGGAUGAGGAAUUUACAAAGAUAUUGUAUCUGUAGUAGCAAGCAUAGGAAACAAAUGAGGCAAAAUAUUUUUUCCAGCAGAUUAUAUCAAGAGUCAGAUUGCCAUGAUGUAAAGAAAUGACUUUGAAGUUCUUCUUAACUCUCGCAGACAUAUUGAAGUGUAGUUUAUCACUCUUGUAGUCACACUAUUUUUUCCUUACUCUCAUAGCAAAUACGCCAG